rnacentral:rRNA from 1 species
GGAACGUGCGAGUAAUGGGGGAUAACGCAGCGAAAGUUGUGCUAUACCGCAUACGCCCCGAGGGGGAAAGCAGGGGAUCUUCGGACCUUGCGUUAUUCGAGCGGCCGACGUCUGAUUAGCUAGUUGGUGGGGUAAAGGCCUACCAAGGCGACGAUCAGUAGCGGGUCUGAGAGGAUGAUCCGCCACACUGGGACUGAGACACGGCCCAGACUCCUACGGGAGGCAGCAGUGGGGAAUUUUGGACAAUGGGGGCAACCCUGAUCCAGCCAUUCCGCGUGAGUGAAGAAGGCCUUCGGGUUGUAAAGCUCUUUCGGCAGGAACGAAACGGCGGGCUCUAACAUAGCCUGUUAAUGACGGUACCUGAAGAAGAAGCACCGGCUAACUACGUGCCAGCAGCCGCGGUAAUACGUAGGGUGCGAGCGUUAAUCGGAAUUACUGGGCGUAAAGCGUGCGCAGGCGGAUUGUUAAGCAAGACGUGAAAUCCCCGGGCUUAACCUGGGAAUGGCGUUUUGAACUGGCAGUCUAGAGUGCGUCAGAGGGGGGUGGAAUUCCACGUGUAGCAGUGAAAUGCGUAGAGAUGUGGAGGAACACCGAUGGCGAAGGCAGCCCCCUGGGAUGACACUGACGCUCAUGUACGAAAGCGUGGGUAGCAAACAGGAUUAGAUACCCUGGUAGUCCACGCCCUAAACGAUGUCAACUGGUUGUUGGGGGAGUGAAAUCCCUUAGUAACGAAGCUAACGCGUGAAGUUGACCGCCUGGGGAGUACGGUCGCAAGAUUAAAACUCAAAGGAAUUGACGGGGACCCGCACAAGCGGUGGAUGAUGUGGAUUAAUUCGAUGCAACGCGAAAAACCUUACCUACCCUUGACAUGUC